GGGCGUCUAGCUCAGUGGUAGAGCGCGUGCUUAGCAUCGUUUGAGAUUGCACGAGGUCUAGGGUUCGAUUCCCUAGUUGUCCA